rnacentral:rRNA from 1 species
GAUGAACGCUGGCGGCGUGUUUAAGGCAUGCAAGUCGUGGGAUCGGCCUUUUUUUUUCUUCGGAAUUUUGAGGUACGGACCGGCAAACGGGUGAGUAACACAUUGGUAACCUACCUUCAAGACGGGGAUAGCCCGGCGAAAGCCGGAUUAAUACCCGAUAGUCAUAGAAGAACUUAUGUUUUUCUAUGUAAAUCCUUUUGGGCUUGAAGAGGGGCCUAUGUCUGAUUAGUUAGUUGGUGAGGUAAUAGCUUACCAAGACCGUGAUCAGUAGCAGGCGUGAGAGCGUGACCUGCCUCACUGGGACUGAGACACUGCCCAGACUCUUACGGGAGGCAGCAGUGGGGAAUUUUGGACAAUGGGGGGAACCCUGAUCCAGCCAUGCCGCGUGCAGGAUGAAGGCCUUGGGUUGUAAACUGCUUUUGUUACGGAACGAAAAGGUCUUUCUAAUAAAGAAGGCUGAUGACGGUACCGUAAGAAUAAGCACCGGCUAACUACGUG